UUUCAUGGCGGCCAUACGCGGGCAGACUUCGGUCUGGCCGAGCUUCCUUAUUCCCUCGGUUUCUCACCCCGCGUAAGGCUGCCACCCUA
rnacentral:antisense_RNA from 2 species